ensembl:lncRNA
GCAGAGGGCAGAAAUACAGAGAGCAAAAAGAACCAAUAUAUGUGCACUUAGGAUUACUGGUCUGUCACUUGGUGUACACUUCACUCACAUUCCAUUGUUCAGAGCAAGUCACCUUACCAGAGGCCCCUGCAGUGCAUCCUGAUCUGCUCAGUGCUAUGAUGCAAGUACUGGGGGUUGAACUCAGGACUUCGUGCUUGCUGGGCAGGCACAGUGCCACGGAGCUGCAUGCCCGGCUCUUCCUCUCAACUCCUUUUGAGACAGGCGAAGCCAACUGACCCCAAAUGUAGCUUUUGCAGUUACACCUUCAGACGCUGAUGACAUAGGAUCAACUAGAAACAAACACCCUCUCCUCAAUUCGUACUUACCAAAAUGCUAUCCUUCCUUUGAGAUUCACCAAAAAU